rnacentral:lncRNA from 1 species
GGCAACAGAAGCAGGAGUGUCACUGGCUGCCAGAUCACUGAGGGUCCCACAAUGUGGCCCGGGCUGUGAUUUACCUGGGUGAGACAGCUUGAGUCCCCAUCCUGGAUUCUAAGACAUCCCUGCUGAGAGAGCCCAGGUGCAAUGUAGCAGGACAACUCAUGGAGCCCCCCCGGGCCCAUCGAGUACCAGACUGGCUGACCCCGUAGGGUUGGC